AAUAGUACAAUUAAACUUGAUUUGGAUUCAGUUUUUUGAUAAUUUAAUUUUUUAAUAAAAAUUUAUUAGGUGGAAUUUUAAGUUUUUUGUAAAAUUUAGUAUUUAAUAAAGAGGCUGGGAAAUUUUAUUUUAAACUAGGAUUAGAUACCCUAUUAUUGUAAAAGUAAAUUUAUAAUUCCUAAUUAGUGAUAGUUAUAUUCUUGAAAAUUAAAAAAUUUGGCGGUAUUUUACUCUAUUCAGAGGAACCUGUCUACUAAUUGAUAAUCCACGAUUUAUUUUACUUUUUCUUAGUUUGUAUAUCGUCGUAGUUUGAAUAUUUUUUUAGAAAAAUAAUAUUCAUAAUUAUUCUUGAUAUAAGAAAUCAGAUCAAGGUGUAGCGUAUGAAAAAGAUAUAGAUGGGUUACGAAAAAUUUAUUUAAGCGAUUAUUUUGUUAAAAUUUUAUAUGAAUGAGGAUUUGAUUGUAAUUUUAAUUAAUUUAUUAAAAUGAUUUAAGCUCUAAAAUAUGCACAUAUCGCCCGUCGCUUUCAUUUUAAGGUGAGAUAAGUCGUAACAAAGUAGGCUUACUGGAAAGUGAGCCUAGAAAGACAAGUUAGAGCUUGAUAAAAGCAUUUUAUUUACAUUAAAAAGUUAGUUGUGAAAUUCAAUUUAACUUGAAUUUAAUAGAUUAAUUUUUUUAUUAUUUAUAUUUUGUUUGGAAUUAGAAUAUUUAAUUUUAUUAUUUUUUAGAAAAAUAUUUUUAUUUUUAUAGUUUAUUUAUACUGUGAAGGAUUUGAUUUAAAUGACUUUAAGGAAAAUUUAAUUUUU
rnacentral:rRNA from 1 species